GAACGCUGAAACCAGAGCUUGCUUUGGUGGAUGAGUGGCGAACGGGUGAGUAACACGUGGGUGAUCUGCCCUACACUUUGGGAUAAGCCUGGGAAACUGGGUCUAAUACCGAAUAUUCACACCACCGUAGGGGUGGUGUGGAAAGCUUUAUGCGGUGUGGGAUGACUGCGGCCUAUCAGCUUGUUGGUGGGGUAAUGGCCUACCAAGGCGUCGACGGGUAGCCGGCCUGAGAGGGUGUACGGCCACAUUGGGACUGAGACACGGCCCAGACUCUACGGGAGGCAGCAGUGGGGAAUAUUGCACAAUGGGCGCAAGCCUGAUGCAGCGACGCCGCGUGGGGGAUGAAGGCUUCGGGUUGUAAACUCCUUUCGCUAGGGACGAAGCCUUUUAGGUGACGGUACCUGGAGAAGAAGCACCGGCUAACUACGUGCCAGCAGCCGCGGUAAUACGUAGGGUGCGAGCGUUGUCCGGAAUUACUGGGCGUAAAGAGCUCGUAGGUGGUUUGUGGCGUCGUCUGUGAAAUCCCGGGGCUUAACUUCGGGCGUGCAGGCGAUACGGGCAUAACUUGAGUGCUGUAGGGGAGACUGGAAUUCCUGGUGUAGCGGUGAAAUGCGCAGAUAUCAGGAGGAA
rnacentral:rRNA from 1 species